rnacentral:lncRNA from 1 species
GACCUGAUUAAUCACUAGAGCGGAAUCUCCAUAUAUGUCAAGAGUUUUGAUCCUUAAAUCAAUGGCUUCUUCUAUCCCCAUGAUACAAGCCUCAUACUCAGCUUCGUUGUUGGUUACGUCAAAAGGUAAUCUGGCAGAAAAAGGUAUAUGAGCACCUUUUUGAUUGAUAAGCACUGCCCCAACACCGUUGCCAUUCACAUUC